AUUGAACGCUGGCGGCAGGCCUAACACAUGCAAGUCGAACGGUAGCACAGAGAGCUUGCUCCUCGGGUGACGAGUGGCGGACGGGUGAGUAAUGUCUGGGGAUCUGCCCGAUAGAGGGGGAUAACCACUGGAAACGGUGGCUAAUACCGCAUAACGUCGCAAGACCAAAGAGGGGGACCUUCGGGCCUCUCACUAUCGGAUGAACCCAGAUGGGAUUAGCUAGUAGGCGGGGUAACGGCCCACCUAGGCGACGAUCCCUAGCUGGUCUGAGAGGAUGACCAGCCACACUGGAACUGAGACACGGUCCAGACUCCUACGGGAGGCAGCAGUGGGGAAUAUUGCACAAUGGGCGCAAGCCUGAUGCAGCCAUGCCGCGUGUAUGAAGAAGGCCUUCGGGUUGUAAAGUACUUUCAGCGGGGAGGAAGGCGAUGUGGUUAAUAACCGCGUCGAUUGACGUUACCCGCAGAAGAAGCACCGGCUAACUCCGUGCCAGCAGCCGCGGUAA
rnacentral:rRNA from 1 species